GGAUCCAUGGUGUAAUGGUGAGCACGCUGGACUCUGAAUCUGCAACCGAGUUCAAAUCUCAAUGGGACCU
rfam:Loxodonta africana unplaced genomic scaffold scaffold_60, whole genome shotgun sequence.